rnacentral:rRNA from 1 species
UGAGGAACAUGACCUUCGGCGGGGGAUAGCCGGCCCAACGGCCGGGUAAUACCGCGUACGACCACAUGGGGACAUCCCUGAGUGGUGAAAGCAGCAAUGCGCCGAUGGAGUGCCUCGCGGCCUAUCAGUUAGUUGGUGAGGUAACGGCUCACCAAGGCGACGACGGGUAGCUGGU